CUGUACAGUUCAGAGUUUGAUCCUGGCUCAGGAUGAACGCUAGCUACAGGCUUAACACAUGCAAGUCGAGGGGCAGCAUGGACAUAGCUUGCUAUGUUUGAUGGCGACCGGCGCACGGGUGCGUAACACGUAUCCAAUCUGCCCGUUACUCGGGGAUAGCCUUCUGAAAGGAAGAUUAAUACCCGAUGGCAUGUAUUUCCGGCAUCGGAUAUACAUUAAAGAUUUAUCGGUAACGGAUGAGGAUGCGUACGAUUAGCUUGUUGGCGGGGUAACGGCCCACCAAGGCGACGAUCGUUAGGGGUUCUGAGAGGAAGGUCCCCCACACUGGAACUGAGACACGGUCCAG
rnacentral:rRNA from 1 species